rnacentral:lncRNA from 1 species
CCAAACAGGAACAAUGAUAGCAAGCAAAAUUACAGAUUAGACCAAAUUUGAGGUAACAACCUUAAUUUAUGACCCUUAAAAUGAUAAAGAAUGAAUAAAGGGAAAUUUCAAACACUUCAAGAAAAACUUGCUAAACGGUUGUUAACUUGGGGAGAAGCUAACCUCUCAAGUGGUGGAAAGGAGGUUAUGAUUAAAUCUGUUGGCCAAGCUCUCCCAACAUAUGUCAUGGGGGUGUUCAAAUUGCCUGCUGGCCUCUGUGAGGACCUCACCAAUCUCAUGGGUGACUUUUGGUGGGGUAAGGAAAAUGGUAAGAAGAAGAUGCACUGGGUUGCUUGGGACACUUUGCUGCGGCCCAAAUCGCACGGUGGACUUGGAUUUACAGAUAUGCAGUUGUUCAACCAAGCUCUUUUGGCCCGCCAGGCUUGGCGUUUGGUGCAGCAACCGAACAGCUUAUGCGCUUGUGUCCUUAGAGCUAAAUACUACCCGAAUGGUAAUUUGAUCGACACUGUGUUCACAGGCAAUGCUUCUUCUUCCUGGAAAGCCAUUGAGUCCGGACUAGAGCUUUUAAAAAAAGGUGCUAUUUGGAGAGUGGGAAAUGGUACUAGUAUAAGAAUCUGGAGAGACCCCUGGAUUCCUUGGGGCUCCUCCAGAAGACCCUUCACCCCACAAGGCUGCUGCCAUAUCCGUUGGGUCUUUGAUCUCCUCACUAAUGAUGGGCAAUGGAACAAACAGAUUAUCCAAGACACCUUCCUACCUAUGGACAGGGAACACAUUUAUAAAAUUAAACCGUCGAGCAGAAAUGAAGCUGACUUCCUUGCCUGGCACCCUAAUAAAAAAGGAACCUUCAGUGUGAAGAGCGCCUACCAUUUGGCCUUUAAAGAAGUCAUGAACCAACAGGAUGUAGGGGCAGCGAGUGCUUGACCAGAUGGGGUUCGCCCUGCAUGGAAAAUUCCUUGGCAGGUUGAGGUACCGCAUAAAGUGAAGAUUUUUGGUUGGAAAGUGGCAAACGACGCGCUGUCAACACAGCUGAGUUUGAGAAGGAGACAAAUUGACACCCCACCCAUCUGUCCUAUUUGUGAUCGCGAAGAAAAAGAUACGUUUCAUGCCUUGUUUAGAUGCCCGCAUGCUGUGGAACUUUGGGAACUCACGUUGGAAGCCUGGAAUUUGCCCAAAGUUACAGAGAUGAUUGAACCUGACAGAGAAUGGCUGCUCCGGCUGCUCGAACAACUGAACGAUUUCCAACGCACUUGUAUUUUGAUGGCUCUUUAGCGCAUCUGGCAUGUUCAUAAUGAGAUUACUCACAACAAGCCGGCUCCCCCGGCUGUGGGAUCUAAAAGGUUCUUAAUGAGCUAUGAUCCCCUACUGCUGAUUAGUCAAGCCCCUGUUGUUGAUGUCGUCAAAGGGAAACAAGUCAUAGACCACAAUCAUAGAGCUAACAGAGCUAGAGAAAAGAGGAUGAACCUGAACCUCCCAGCUAAGUGGAGUCCUCCGUCUGUAGGUACAAUUAAAUUGAAUGUGGAUGGUUCUUUCGACCAUGAUUCUGCAAGCGCAGCCACCGGGGGUUGUAUUCGUGAUCAUGAUGGAAAGCUCCUUGCAGCUGCGUGUAGAUACCUGUACCAUUGCUGUGACCCUCUUGAUGCUGAACUUGCUGCCUGUGAGGACGGUCUCCGACUCAUGUUCCGGUGCACUGAACUCCUUGCCAUGUUGGAAACUGACUCUGCAGAAGCUUUGGCUCUAAUCACGAACAGCGGCACAAAUCUCUCAGUCUACCACCAUCGAGUUACAAACAUCAAGGAGCUUGUGUCCUCGGGGAGGAUAAUCUCUGUCCGGAAAAUUCCUCGUGACCAGAAUAGUGCUAGUGAUAGUCUAGCAAACCAUUCAAGAUGUAACCGUAGUACUACUUGCUGGCUGAGAGAUUUCCCUGACUUUCUUCAGCCAGCCCUCCUCUAUGAUUGUACCCUGGACCCUGGUUAAUUAAUGAAAUCUUUUGUUCCUUCGCAAAAAAAAGGGCUCAUUUGGUUGCACCGGGAGAAGAAACCACGGAAACCAGCCCUCGAGAAGAUUUUAGUGAGCAUAGGGGAUCCCCUCGGUUCCACGGGAAAGAUUUCCUGGGAGGGUAACUAAUUCACGAGUCCAUUUGGCAGCAAGGGAAAAUAAGGGGAACGUUCGUUCAGUCCGUCCAGCAAGGAACGAAAAGGGAGGGGAGAGGUUCAGUCCGUCCAUAACUUUAGACAUGCUCUUGCUAAUGCAAGAAACUUAGAAAUAAUUCAACAACUUUUGAGAAGAAGAUAAAAACAGAAACUUUGCUAUAUGCAACCAGUAAGAACUGAGAACAGGGAAACUAAAUUGCAUCGUAAAAUUACUCAAAUUUUUUUUGCAUCAUAUAAGGAACAAUAAAGGGCAAGCACAACUAAUAUCCGAAACUAAAUUUGUUAGGAUCAAACACCACAAGUUACAAUUUUUUUGAAUCCAAAACGAGGUGCCAGAUCCUCCGAACAAUACUAUCCGCCAAACAGGAACAAUGAUAGCAACCAAAAUUACAGAGUGGACCAAAUUUGAGGUAACAGCCUUAAUUUAUGACCCUUAAAAUGAUAAAGAAAAAACAGUCCCUGCAAAGAGAUUCAAGACAGCAGCUGCUAACAAAGCACCAUCACCAUUUUAUAACGAUUCCAAUCAAUGACAAUGUUCCUUAUGAUCAUCUCCAAGAUCUCCAAGUUUGAUAUGGAACCAUGUACCUACAGCAAACAACAUGAGGGAAGAAUAGAUGAUUAUAUGAACAACAUAUGGGCUAAAGAGCGUGACGAAAGUGUUACCCUCUUAUCAGAAAAGGCACACACCAGAAAAUCAAAAGAACACUUGGUCCAUGCUACUGGCUGUUUUGUGGUUUCAGAAUAGGUAUAUGUAACAGAAAAUCAAAAGAACAAUUGACUUCAGGUUUCAAGAAAAAAAAACUAACCUACACAACACUUUAGGACUACAUGACAGCAUGAUUAAAAAUACAUAGCAAAAAUCAGGAUAUAUGGCUAAGUUGAAAAACUGGUACUGUAGCUUCUAAACAAAUCUGACUUGCACUUAGGUGUAGGUAGCAAUUAAAAAACAUCCAAGAGAAAGGCAUGCCAGUAUGACACUAUCUAAUAACUUUAGAACCUUGUAUUCAGCUAAGUAUGGCAUGGCAUCAGAUUGACCAUAAACUACAGCUUGAUUUCACAAAACAAAAGCUGACCAUAGAUAGCAGAACAAGUAAUAAAACUUCUAGUAAAAAUGAAAAACAAAAAAUCAGCAUGAGGAAUGCAGAACCAUCAGCUACAAGCAAUGGAUGGCAAUGAUGAAAGUGUUACCCCUCUUAUCAGCUUCUAGCUCAUAAAGAUAACGGCUAAAGAGCUUGACGAAAGUGUUACCCCUCUGAUCAUAAAAGGCUCCCAGCAGAAAAUCAAAAGAAAAUUUAGACCAUGGCACAUGCCGUUUUGUGGUGCCCAUUACCAUGGCAUAAUGCAAAACCAUCAGCUACAAGCAAGUAUAUAACAGGCACAAGCAUCAGCUAUGUAAUGCAGAAUCAUGUUAGAAGAAGACUGCUUCGUGUUGACAAAUCUCUUCCUCAAAUGCUAGAGUUAAAUAUAUGAUUUGGGCUAACUAAAUCCAGGGAAAGCUAAUGGCAGUAUCAUAACCAAAGCUAACACAUGAAGCAGCAUAGCAAAUGGAAGUGAAUAUCUUGACAGCAAUAACAAAAAAAAUAUCUUGACAUUUCGC